rnacentral:sRNA from 1 species
CAUCAAGCGGGGAUAGCUCAGUUGGGAGAGCG